UCCCUGGUGGCUUAGAUGGUAAAGAAUCUGCUUGCAAUGCAGGAGACCUAGGUUCGGUCCCUAGAUUGGGAA
rnacentral:tRNA from 1 species